GAUGAACGCUGGCGGCGUGCCUAAUACAUGCAAGUCGAGCGAACGGACGGGAAGCUUGCUUCUCUGAUGUUAGCGGCGGACGGGUGAGUAACACGUGGAUAACCUACCUAUAAGACUGGGAUAACUUCGGGAAACCGUAGCUAAUACCGGAUAAUAUUUUGAACCGCAUGGUUCAAAAGUGAAAGACGGUCUUGCUGUCACUUAUAGAUGGAUCCGCGCUGCAUUAGCUAGUUGGUAAGGUAACGGCUUACCAAGGCAACGAUGCAUAGCCGGCCUGAGAGGGUGAUCGGCCACACUGGAACUGUGACACGGUCCAGACUCCUACAGGAGGCAGCAGUAGGGAAUCUUCCGCAAUGGGCGAAAGCCUGACGGAGCAACGCCGCGUGAGUGAUGAAGGUCUUCGGAUCGUAAAACUCUGUUAUUAGGGAAGAACAUAUGUGUAAGUAACUGUGCACAUCUUGACGGUACCUAAUCAGAAAGCCACGGCUAACUACGUG
rnacentral:rRNA from 1 species